AUACUCUGGUCUCCCUUCCUAACGAAUAAAUCAUUCGCCUGUUACUAAAGAUUUCCGUGGAGGGGGACUCACUGAUGAGUCUCUUUAUACCAGUCAAUGUUGUAAAUAAAUUAAGGUUUUAA